rnacentral:lncRNA from 1 species
GGUCCUGGAGCAGUUCCUGGCUGUGCUACCUGGGGAGAUCCAAGCCCGGGUGAGGACACAGCACCUUGGGAGCGGUGAGGAAGCUGUCGCUUUGGUGGAGGACAUACAGAAUCAGUCAUUGAAAACCUGGCCACAGGAUGAGCUCUCAGAGGUGGAGCCUAAGGCAGCAGUCCAGGAAUUCCAAGCCACAGCAUCUCCCAAGAAGGCAGGAGUGCAGAAGCAGCUAUGUGCAUCCCAAGAGCAGCACAGCCACGCCCAGCCCCCUGUUCUUAAAGAGAGACGGACAGGAGAGAUGUUGGAUGUCUGCUUUGCCUCUGAAGUUGAUAAUGGAGCUCCCUGGGCCCUGCUCAGAGAAACCUCUUCUGGGAUAUCAAGAGAGAAAACUCCCGGGAUGCUGCCCUCGAGUUAAGCCAGCUGUGCUCAGUGGGCGGGGCGUGUGGUGGUGGCUUCACCUGUGGAAAGCGGGGUGCUGGUACAGGGAACAGGCAGAGGUCUUUAUAGUGGCACGCACCUCUCAGAAGGAUCAGCUCAGCUGAUGUCCCCGAGGCUCCCUCAGAACUGCUCGUUUGUUGACCUGUCAUCUUCCCAUUAAAAACACUUUUGAAAU